UGAUAUGCGAUGAAGCGGAAGGUUGCUGACAGUUGGUCAGGUAAUUUCCGUGGAGUAUGUCCGAUUUUAAACCGGGCGACUG
rfam:Ruminococcus sp. CAG:57 genomic scaffold, scf22